CCUUCUCUUAUCUUCUCUACGCCACUCAACCUCACAUGAUCUUCUCCUUUCUCUCGUCUAUUCUGGCCUACACACACUCACACCAAAUGCUAAAAUAAAAUUGAUCCAAUGAAUUUUUUUUUUUUUGGCAAAGUCAUCAUGCUUUUCAUUAGGCGGCUCCCUCUAAUCUAGGUGAUUUGGGAUCAUAAUUGGAGGUUCAUUUGGCCAAGCCUUUCACUCUUCUCUCCCUGUCCUUGAUCAAGAAACUAAAAUCAAAGCUAACCUAGGUCAGGAAUGUAGAUCUUUGGUCUAAGAUUGACAACUUUAAAAGCUAAUAAAGCUUACAUGUGGCCAAAUCCUUCAUUUUUCUCUCCCUAUCCUUCAUAAGAAAAUGAAAUCAAAGCUAAUCAAGGUUGGUAAUGUUGAUCUUUCCUCUAAGAUCGAUGACUUAAGAAGCCAAUCAAGCUUGCAUGUUCCCUACCCCCUUCUCUCCUAAUAUUUUGCUCUUAACUCUACCUUCUUGUAACCUAACAAUGGCUGUCUUCAAAGGUUAUGCAAGCAUCUCAAUUUCUUGCUUUGAUUAUCUUAAAUAUGGAUUUUUUUUUUUCAUUCUUUCAAGCAUACAUAAGUCCACUCUAUUCAAUUUCAAUUUGUAUUUAUUUAUGGAUUCCAGUUGUUUUGAUUUAUCAAAUGAAGUGAUAAUUCCCUCACCUUUUUUCGAGCCUAACUCAAGAGAUUCAUUCCUAAAUGGGAUCUUGCCGUGAAGAGAGUGUUGCAAAAAACCAACAAAAGUAGUUCACAACUCAUUAAGGUCAUGAUAUUCUUAAGUGCUUAUGAAGUGCCCAUGAGUUAGGUGGAGGAUGCAGGAGAUUCAUACAAAAAUUAAAUGGAAGAGUGCAUCUACUUAAUCAUGGAAGAAUUAAAAACUAGAGGAUUCGACAAUGAUCAUAAUCUUGCCUAUCAGAUUUAUCAGAUGAAGCGAUCAUUCCCUCACCUUCUUCCAAGACUACCUAGAUAAGUAAGAACUUUCCUAUUUAUUCAAGUUUCACUCUCUUUCUAUAUUUUUUAUUCUCUCUUUUUUGGUUUUCUUAGAUUCAUUCCCAACUGGGAUCUUACUAUGGAGAGAGUGUUGCAGACAACCAAUAAAAGCAGUUCACAACUUAUUAAGUUAGCAAAGACUCAGGGAAAGGGAAGGAAACACUAAGUCAAGACCAGGAGACAGUUAUCAGAGGUAGACACACGGACAGGGCAGCAGACAAGGCUGCUAGUACAUCCAGCGAGAGAUUAUCGGGAGAUCUAAAAUCCUCGCAUUGACUAUGGAAGAGGGUGAUCGUUCAGUUGAUCAAUCUAUUGAGGCUGAGGUGCAAGGGGAUGCCCCAGGCCUACACAAUGUCAGUGGUUCAGCAGCACUAGCCCCUGCAGUACCGCAGUUCCCUGCUCAGUUCGCUCAACAGAUGGCUGCAAUGUUCCAAUAAAUGGCUGGUAAUGUGCCUACUCAAGUCCCAAUACAGACACCAGUGGUACAACCACAGUCUCCUGCGAGGCAGUAUGACAAAUUGAUGAAAUAUGGGGCUACAGAGUUCAAGGGGACAGUAGAUCCUCUAGAGGCUGAACAGUGGUUAGAGAGGAUGGAUAGGGUAUUCAAGAAACUGCAUUGCACGGAGGAACUCAGAUUUGAAUACUCAGUAUCUUUGUUAUAGAGGGAUGCUUAUGACUGGUGAAAAACCAUUCCCCACAGUCUGGUAGAACCUACAGUGUUAACAUGGAAUGACUUUCUCAGGGAAUUCAGACAAAAAUAUGUCCCUGAUGCUUUUGUAUACCAUAAGCUACA